rnacentral:rRNA from 1 species
AGCAGCCGCGGUAAUUCCAGCUCCAAUAGCGUAUAUUAAAGUUGUUGCAGUUAAAAAGCUCGUAGUUGAAUUUCGGGACUAAUAUGUCGGUCGUACUUUGUACGUACUAGCAUUAUUGGUUUCUCCCUUCUGACGAACCACGAUGUCAUUAAUUUGGUGUCUUGGGAAAUCAGGACUGUUACUUUGAAAAAUUAGAGUGUUUAAAGCAAGCUCGCGCUUGAAUACAUUAGCAUGGAAUAAUGAAAUAGGACGUUUGAUUCUAUUUUGUUGGUUUCUAGGAUCGACGUAAUGAUUAAUAGGGAUAGUUGGGGGCAUUAGUAUUCAAUUGUCAGAGGUGAAAUUCUUGGAUUUAUUGAAGACUAACUACUGCGAAAGCAUUUGCCAAGGAUGUUUUCAUUAAUCAAGAACGAAAGUUAGGGGAAUCGAAGACGAUCAGAUACCGUCGUAGUCUUAACCAUAAACUAUGCCGACUAGGGAUCGGAUGAUGUUAAUUUUUAAUGUACUC